AGUGUCUCCAGCUUACCAGGACCACGUUAUGUGCCUAAGGACAUCUAGCCAAGGGGCUCAUGAAACCCCUAGACUCCCACCUCCACAGACUAUUUGUAUUAUAUGAAGGUUGGACCAGCCCUGAGAGGAAGCUGUAGUAUCUUUUAAUGGAUCCAUCCAUCUCAGAGGUGUACUGUUGCAGUGGACGUUGGAUGUUCCUGCUCAAAAGACGCUGGGAAGGGCCAGCUGGAGGUCAGCUAUCCAGUAAAUAUAGGAACACCACCUGCAGGCAGUCUCACCCGGGCUGCACCACAGCACAGGAGGUCACAUCACGGGAGGUGUUCACGUGCGUUCCCACAAGGCCUGCGGAUCUCCAUCGCUGUAUCAUUCACUGGAUAUACUGUUUGUUGCUUUGGGCCUGAAGUUCCUCCGGGCCUCAUCUUUACAUACCUGAAUCAAAUCCAGUGUUGGGUCACAUGAGGCAGAUGGGGCACUGACUUUCUAAUGAACUCUUGAAUGUAGCCUUGGAUGUCUUCAAGAGAAGCAAAGCCACCAAGAAGUGUGACAGUGAUGUGAAGGACCCAGCACCUUAUUUAUGAUCCCGAACAUCUACUAGACAUCACACACUCAUCUGGGACAAGAAACUAUCCCAACAAAAUGCUUUGUUCCUGACUAGAAUAGAAUACUCUUUAAUAGCACCAGAUAUUUUAUAGGGAACAAAAUCUAUAACUGACAUGGGAUAAAUGUGUGUCUGUGGUUAUUGUGUUUUGUUUUGGAUGAGGAGUAAGUAGAAUUAUCAGCUACGUUACAUGGAUUUUUUUUGUAAAAAAUUAAGUUUCUUUGGUGGUAAAAAUGGGAGAUACCAAUUCUGUUUUUGUUUUUCAUCUCUCUGGGUUUAAUGGGCACCUAUUAUAUGCAAGCUAGUGUCUUAGUUGCUCCAGAAACACUAGGGAGGAAGAUAGGCCAGAUACUGCCUUUCUUAUGAUUAGUUUCUAUGGGGGAGAACGAUAAUAAAGCAAUGAAUACCAAGAAGACACCAGCUACGAUUUCCCCCAUCUCUAGUACUCAGAAAUGCAUUCUGAGGAGCAGUCUAGAUCAGCAGUUCUCAAACUGUGGGUCGUGACCCCUGGUGGGGGGUGUCAAACCAUAUCUUCACAGGGGUUGCAUAUCAGAUAUCCGGUGUAUCUGAUAUUUACAUUUUGAUUCAUAACACUAGCAAAAUUAGUUAUGAAGUAACAGUAAAAAUAACUAUGGAUGGCGGUGUUAGGAAGGAUGAGAACCACUGUUCUAGAUGGAUUGGUGGGAGUAUGUCCUCUGCAAAGAGGUCACAUACACUGACUCCAAGCGACAGAACACUUUAAGGAAGCAAAGCCAUGCAAAUGUGUCCCAGUGCAGGGAGAGAUGUGACAUUUGUGUUGUCUUUCGGCUUAUUUUUCUAUGUCUCUUUCUGGGUCCCUGUGACAAGAAGAAAAUGUCUACUUUAUUUACCAACACAUGCACAGUGCCCUAACACAGCUCCUGCUUGGCACACAGAUGCUCAAUAUCUAUUAAUGAAUAACAAAGGACCCUUGACCUACCAUUCCCUUUUCCCCAAGGGCAGAGCAGGUCGGUCCUGCGGGUAUGGGCUGUGCCCAUCAAGUGGGAGAAUGGAGAGAGGAGGAAGUUGGUUUCCUCCUAGAGCCCCGCAAUAGCAGGCUUAGGAAUCUAGGACUGCCUGCCCGAAGCCACGCCUCUGCCCGAGGCCACGCCCCUGCCCGAGGCCACGCCUCUGCCCGCCCUUGUACAGCUUCAUGUUGAGGCUGCUUGUUUUCUGAGCUGACAGGAAUCUGAGGCAGAUUUGGUUGAAUUCACCUGCAAUCUCCUGAAAGUGUGACCAGGGUCUUAGCUACAAAGUAAGUUCUGGGUAAAAGGAAGCUUCUGAUUGAGAGUUCAAAUGCCCCUAAAGCCAAGACAGGUGUGUAAGAAAGCCCUUGGCUGCCUCCAUAGGUACAAUGAUGGGAAGGGCUAGCUGAUGUUCUGUUCUGGGGUAGCUGGAUCUUUAACCAAAUGACCACCAUCAUAUCUCC
ensembl:lincRNA